rnacentral:rRNA from 1 species
GAUGAACGCUGGCGGCGUGCUUAACACAUGCAAGUCGAGCGAUGAAGUUUCCUUCGGGAAACGGAUUAGCGGCGGACGGGUGAGUAACACGUGGGUAACCUGCCUCAUAGAGUGGAAUAGCCUUCCGAAAGGAAGAUUAAUACCGCAUAAUAGUUGAAAGAUGGCAUCAUCAUUCAACCAAAGGAAGCAAUCCGCUAUGAGAUGGACCCGCGGCGCAUUAGCUAGUUGGUGGGGUAACGGGCCUACCAAGGCGACGAUGCGUAGCCGACCUGAGAGGGUGAUCGGCCACAUUGGGACUGAGACACGGCCCAG